CCAAACUUGGUCAUUUAGAGGAAGUAAAAGUCGUAACAAGGUCUCCGUUGGUGAACCAGCGGAGGGAUCAUUACCGAGUUACCAAACUCCAAACCAUUUGUGAACUUACCUUUUGUUGCUUCGGUGGGCGGCUCCGGGGGAGCCUGAAGCCGCUCGCGGUGCCCGCCGAAAGCCCCAGACUCUAUGUUUUUUACAGGUGUCUUGCUGAGUGGAAAAACAAAACAAGUAAAAACUUUCAACAACGGAUCUCUUGGUUCUGGCAUCGAUGAAGAACGCAGC
rnacentral:misc_RNA from 1 species